ensembl:miRNA mir430d-3 microRNA mir-430d-2
GAAUCGCUUCGAGGCCACCUCAAACAGAGACACUGAUGGUUUUGAUUUCCUAAGUGCUUCUCUUUGGGGUUGUCUCAAUGUUGGUUU